GUGGAGCAACCUCCAAACAUUUCGAGUGAUUUGGCGCAGCUUCUCUACUCCCGCGUGAAGCAAUGUUUUGUUUUGAAGAUUACUGCGUGACUACAGCUUUAUUUACACAUAUAACCUAUAUCUCCGGAUUGUUGCUCUGAAAAUAACCCCACGCACAGGAAGCAACGAUGCACAACGCAAACCACCGCUGCAAUGGAGAUAAGUAGGAGAGCAAAUGAGAGAGAGGACCCAUGGGCGUUCCAGGUGCUCAAGGUCUGAGUGGACGCAAAGGAGAGAGAGGACCCAUGGGCGUUCCAGGUGCUCAAGGUCUGAGUGGACGCAAAGGAGAGAGAGGACCCAUGGGCGUUCCAGGUGCUCAAGGUCUGAGUGGACGCAAAGGAGACAAGGGCUUCCAAAGAAGAGGUGGACCCAAAGGAGACAUUACUCCGACGUGGAGGGGCUAGCUGGUGAGAAAGGGGAAAAGGUAUGUCUGGAGAAUCUGGCACUAAAGGACAGCACAGAGUGAGGAGACCUUGGACAUAAUGGUCCAACAUGGAGACUCUGGGAAGCCAGGUGAUGUAGGACCCCCUGGACUGCCUGGUCCUCGGGGGUUGAACGGCAUGAGCGGUGUGCAUGGCAGGCCGGGUAUUGAGGGUCCACCGGGACAAGGUAUAUCUGACCAGCAUAUUAUUGAUGUGGUAUAAAGAAUGUUGCAAGAGAGGCUGGCAGCAGUAGCAGUGAGCACUAAAAGGGCUGUGCUGUUGAACAACCGGCUAUUCUGGUCCUCCGUGAUUAAUGGUUCCACAAGGACCACAUGAUUUGCCUGGUUCCCGAAGAAUUCCUGGAACGAUGGGAGCUGACAGACGGAUUGGAAACACAUGUCUUAAAGCUGGAUGUCCCCUCAUCGACAGCUGGAGAGCGAAUGAGCCGGUGGAGUAGGAGGAGGACUUAUUUAUGAGAGCUCUACAGGGGUGGAGCUUCGGUUCCCCUGCAGUGUCACAACGGACCCCUCAGCCCAACCACGCAAGACAAUCUGGAUGUCCCCUCAUCGACAGCUGGAGAGCGAAUGAGCCGGUGGAGUAGGAGGAGGACUUAUUUAUGAGAGCUCUACAGGGGUGGAGCUUCGGUUCCCCUGCAGUGUCACAACGGACCCCUCAGCCCAACCACGCA